CGUGGAGGUGGUGACUGCAGCAGCGGUUCCGGAAGUUCUGUGGCCGGCGGAGGCCGAUGUGACGUCAUCGGUGGGGUCUCCGGCCGUGUCCUCAUGGUCAAUGGCGGCGGGUGCAUGGUGGGGGAGGGGCAGGGACAGAGUCGGGAUUUGGGAGGCGCAGGAAUCCUCUUGUGGGUGGCAGGGGCCCGUGAGUUGGUUGUACUUACGAUUUUUGGUGUCCAGUAAAGCUGAGUGGAACUGGGUGUUCAGUCUGUGGAUCCUGCGGAGGAUAAAAAACAGCAGGGGUCCUGUGCAGGUGUGGGAGAGGGAGGCUCUGAGCUGGGGCAGGCUGGAUUGCAGUGUGUGGAGGUGCCGGCGCAUGGCUGCGAGUGUCUGUUUCAGGACUCGCAGGGAGAAACGCUUCUGAAGGGUCUGAAUAUUCUGGGUGUAGAGGUGGUCACGGUUGGGGACAAAUUGGGAAGGUUGAAAUGUGGACUGUAGUCCCUUGGGGAUGAUCUGGUUCCGUAGGCAGGUGCUGAGAAAGGUGAUGUGGCUGUGGUACCUGGUUUGCUUCAGGACAUGGUCGAGCAGUUUCAAGGCCGAAGAGAUUACAAGAGAGUUGCAAUGGGAGAGAGAUUCCCUGAGUUUAUAGCACUGGACCUAAUCGACAACGAAGUCGCCGAUCCUCAGGUGCCAUCUCUCUCCACUGGGCCAACGUCACCUCUGCUGAUGAAGCAGCCACCGAUUUCAGGUCCUGUGCUUGCUCUGGAAAAGUAAGUAGCGGCUCACAUGGUCCGCCUUGGGUCCACAGUAAGCCUGCCCGAGGUCCGCACCCUGGGCCUGGCUGAAGAUUCCUGGAUCUGCCCAAGGCCUGCAUUCUGUGCUCCUGCUGAUGCCAUCCAAGCUCAGGACAAGAUUUUAGAUUCCCUACAGUGUGGAAACAGGCCCUUCGGCCCAACAAGUCCACACCAGCCUUUGAAGCAUCCUACCCAGACCCAUCCCCCAAUAACCCACACACCCCUGAACGCUAUGGGCAAUUUAGCAUGGCCAAUCCAACUAACCUACACAUCUUUGGACUGUGGGAGGAAACCGGAGCACCCGGAGGAAACUCACGCAGACACGGGGAGAAUGUGCAAACUCACACAGAGAGUCGCCCGAGGCGGGAAUCAAACCCGGGUGACUGGUGCUGUGAGGCUGCAGUGCUAACCAUUGAGCCACCAUGCCACCCAAAAUUUGUUCAAAAUUUUGUUCUCUGACAGAAAGUCACCUUGUGUAGCUUAGCAUUAUAUUCUGGUUUGUCAUACUCUUACAUUAA